ensembl:lncRNA
AUGGGUCAACAGUGUAGAGAUUGUUUGUUUCUUUUACUAGGCAAUGAUCUGCUUCGUAGUGUCCUUGACAGCUGGACAUUAACCCCGAGUCUUUUCACUUGUAGGUUUUCUGUAGUAGUCUGUGUUUCCCUGAUAUUUGGCAUCACAGCAAAGCCACAUAAACCAUGGUAUAAACUUACAGAUGCAGCAUUCCAGGAUACUGUUAUGUCCAUAGAUGACGAAGGAAAGAUGUCCUGGGGAGUGGAAGUGGAAGUGGAACCUCCAGAGGUCCUGGACGAGACCCACUAUGAGAUGGACCCUAGCAUGAUGAUUUGGAAGAGUAUGGCGGGCAAUGGACAGGCAGAGCCCGCGCAGGAAGAUGCCAGCAUGAAGGAACCUGAGCAGGACUGGGAUGAAGUCUACCACAAAGCAAGGGAGGAGCUGGAAGUUUACCUGGCCCCACUGACGGAUGAGUACCAAGCCGGUGCGGAGGUCCGCGUUGCACAGGCCGAGCCAGAGGAGGACGAGGAUGACCUGUAUCACCGUGACAACCAGCGCUCACCUGUGCAGAUGGAGCUGCUGACACGUGAGGUCAGGGGAGGGAGUGAGGUCAUAGUUCACCUUCAACCCGAGGAGGACAUGGAUGACCUGUACCACAAAGACCUCCUUCAGCCCAUACUUUACCAGGAUGCUGAUGAACCUGUUGCGCCAGUCGAUGUGUCGUCUCAGAGGAGGUACAGCGAACCAGAGGAAGAUCUGGAUGAUCUCUACCACCAGUGA